rnacentral:rRNA from 1 species
AUUGAACGCUGUCGUCAGGCUUAACACAUGCAAGUCGAGCGAGCGGCGGACGUUUGAGUAAUGUUUGGGAAACUCCCUGAUGGAGGGGGAUAACUACUGGAAACUGUAGCUUAUCCCGCAUACCAUAAGAUGUUCCCAGAUGGGAUUCUCUAGUUGUUGGGGUAAUGGCUCACCUAGGCGACGAUCCCUAGCUGGUCUGAGAGGAUGACCAGCCACACUGGAACUGAGACACGGUCCAGACUCCUACGGGAGGCAGCAGUGGGGAAUAUUGCACAAUGGGGGCAAGCCUGAUGCAGCCAUGCCGCGUGUGUGAAGAAGGCCUUCGGGUUGUAAAGCACUUUCAGCGAGGAGGCGUUAAUCGCAGAAGAAGCACCGGCUAACUCCGUGCCAGCAGCCGCGGUAAUAC